UCACAUCACUUGGUUCAUUAACCAGUCACAGGACUUCCAGGGUCUUCUUCCAUUCUCAAAACUAAAAAGCCUAUGGGAAUUGGGGGAAUUUCGGGGUGUUUGCACUAGAUAAGUAAAACAAACAAAACACGGAUUAUCCAAUUAUUGUUCAUCCAGGAGCAAAAUAAAUCCAGUUCCUAAAAAAAAAAAAAAAAGGAGGUGGCUUCUUCUGGGUGGGCCGAGGUGCAGCUGCGUACAUUGAAGGACACAGGCUGCAGAGUCUGUGUCUUUUGGAAGACUGAAAUCAUGGCAGGUCCAGAAACUGAUGCCCAAUUCCAUUCCACUGGCAUCAAAAAAUACUUCAACUCUUACACUCUCACAGGGAGAAUGAAUUGUGUUCUGGCCACAUAUGGAAGCAUUGCUUUGAUAGUCUUAUACUUCAAGUUAAGGUCUAAAAAAACUCCAUCUGUGAAAGCAACAUAAACGGAUCCUAAACUGUACCUCAUCUGUUAAGUUCUCAUGCCUAAAGAAGCUAAUGUCAGCUCAUCAUGUGAUACUCAAUUUGUACAAUAAAUUAUGAACCUGGAAAAAAAAA